ACGGGUGAGGAAUACAUCGGAAUCUACUUUUUCGUGGGGGAUAACGUAGGGAAACUUACGCUAAUACCGCAUACGACCUACGGGUGAAAGCAGGGGACCUUCGGGCCUUGCGCGAUUGAAUGAGCCGAUGUCGGAUUAGCUAGUUGGCGGGGUAAAGGCCCACCAAGGCGACGAUCCGUAGCUGGUCUGAAAGGAUGAUCAGCCACACUGGAACUGAGACACGGUCCAGACUCCUACGGGAGGCAGCAGUGGGGAAUAUUGGACAAUGGGCGCAAGCCUGAUCCAGCCAUACCGCGUGGGUGAAGAAGGCCUUCGGGUUGUAAAGCCCUUUUGUUGGGAAAGAAAUCCAGCCGGCUAAUACCUGGUUGGGAUGACGGUACCCAAAGAAUAAGCACCGGCUAACUUCGUGCCAGCAGCCGCGGUAAUACGAAGGGUGCAAGCGUUACUCGGAAUUACUGGGCGUAAAGCGUGCGUAGGUGGUUGUUUAAGUCUGUUGUGAAAGCCCUGGGCUCAACCUGGGAACUGCAGUGGAAACUGGACAACUAGAGUGUGGUAGAGGGUAGCGGAAUUCCCGGUG
rnacentral:rRNA from 1 species